rnacentral:rRNA from 1 species
CCUACGGGAGGCAGCAGUAGGGAAUUUUCGGCAAUGGGGGGAACCCUGACCGAGCAACGCCGCGUGAACGAAGACGUUAUUCGUAAUGUAAAGUUCUUUUAACAGGGAAGAAAGAGAAAUUUGACGGUACCUGAAGAAUAAGCUCCGGCUAACUAGGUGCCAGCAGCCGCGGUAAUACGUAGGGGGCGAGCGUUAUAUGCAAUUAUUGGGCGUAAAGGGUGCGUAGAUGGCAUAGUAAGUCUGUUGUAAAAAUCGUGGGCUCAAUCCAGUAGGGCAAAAGAUACUGCAAAGCUAGAGUAUGACAGAGGCAAGUGGAACGACAUGUGUAGCGGUAAAAUGCGUAAAUAUAUGUCAGAACACCAGUGGCGAAGGCGGCUUGCCGGGUCGAUACUGACAUUGAGGCACGAAAGCGUGGGGAGCAAACAGGAUUAGAUACCCCUGUAGUC